GACGUAGGGCGCGAGCGUUGUCCGGAUUGAUUGGGCGUAAAGAGCUCGUAGGCGGCUCGUUGCGUCGGCUGUGAAAACCCGCAGCUCAACUGUGGGCCUGCAGCUGAUACGGGCGGGCUGGAGUUCGGUAGGGGAGACUGGGAAUUCCUGGUGUAGCGGUGAAAUGCGCAGAUAUCAGGAGGAACACCGGUGGCGAAGGCGGGUCUCUGGGCCGAUACUGACGCUGAGGAGCGAAAGCGUGGGGAGCGAACAGG
rnacentral:rRNA from 1 species